UGGGGACACUGGGACACUUAGGGACAUUGGGAGACAUGGGGACACAGAGACACAUAGGGGCACAGCGUCCCCAUGUCUCCCAGUGUCCAUGUCUCCCAGCCAGUGGCCCUGGUGUCUCAGUGUCCCCAUGUCUCCCAGUGCCCCCCAUGUUCCCCAGCCAGUGUCU